UAUGGCUUUUUAUUCCUAUGUGAUUAUAUCACUAAUUUCAUAUAGGGAUUGAAGCCAUGUA
rnacentral:pre_miRNA from 1 species